ensembl:lncRNA
GGUGAUUGGCGGGGGGGGCGCUUGCAGUUACUCAGCUUGAUGGAGGCAGGAGGCCACAGCUGAUGCCAAUCCCGUGAACAAGGAGCCUCCUUAAAGGGCCCAGGAAGCACCAGCAGCCAGAAGCGCAGCCAUGUCUCUUCUCAAUCUGGUGUUCGCGGCUCUCUUGGUGUCGUCGACGGCUCGGGGGGGCGUUCACCGAAACCUGCAGGGCCAGUGGGUGAUCACCAAGGACGACCCGCAGUACGAAGACACAGACUUCCUACCCGAUGACGACAGCACGUGGCCCGACAGCACGUGGCCCGACAGCACGUGGCCCGACAGCACGUGGCCCGCGAGCACGCCGGGGGACGUCGCGCCUGUGACGCCGGAGGACUACAACUCGCUGACGACUCUAGAACCGCAUAGCAUGACGGGACAAGAGGGAGGCCUGGCGGUGUGGCAAAUCGUGCUGGUGGUGUCCGUCCUGCUGGUGUCCGUGGUGGGGUCUCUGAGCGUGGUCUACUACAUGUGCAUCUGGAGAGGAGGCCGGAUUCACUAUCAGCCGCAGAAGGUGGAUUAUACUUAAGAAACCUGACAAAUGCCAAUAAAAUGAACUUUGUGUAGAAACUGAAGGCUUCUUGAAUGUUUUUGACGGUUAAUGGACUCCAUGUGGGGCUUGUUGCCUCUCCUAAAUGUAACUUAAUCAGAAUUUGAACUUGCAUUAAUUAACACUCCUUAUGAAUACAUGUUUAUUCGAACAUUCGUUUCCCUUGUGGUGGUUUGCACGAUGUGUCAUUUAGGCAGAACAGUGGUUUAUUGGUCAGGUUAUCAACUGGAGUGUAAAUUAAACUGUUACUUGAGCUCUACUAUCACUUUUUGGGUGCUUUGAGUGGCCAAGCAUCUUCAUGUAAACCCUAUCAGAGUGUUCAUGAGCGGUACGCUCUAGUUUUAUAGUCUAGUGGUCAUCUUGACAAUGGCCUUUAAUCAUCCUGCAUAACUUUGCCCCAAGUGCUUUCUCAAAUAAGAUUGGAUUGUUUUUAAUUCUAAAGGGGCUUCUCUGAAACUUCAAUUCCCCUCUUGCUGUGCCCAGUUGUUAUAAUGGCCACUAGAGGUCCUCACCAUCACUAUUUAUGGCUUGCUCCACCUAUCUGGACACAACUGAAGAUAUGUUCACUUGAGCAACGCUUUCACAACAGAUUUGUUAAUACGUGGUGCCUCAAGCACCUGUUUAAUGACUCCAGUGACGGACAUUGGGUCAUUCAUGCAUUGGAUUUGAAAAGAUUAGCAAAAGUUAAAGAAAUCUGUCUGAAUUGAGAUUUCUGUAGAUCGCUGGCCACAUGAUUCAAGUACCGAUCCCUCCCUGUGAACGUCAAUGGUCUCAUCGUGAUGGGUGUAAAAGUUGCUGUCUACUGCACAUUUUUUGCUAUUUAAGGGAAAUUCCCAACUUGAUGUGUCAUUUUCUGAGGAAACCUUUUUAAAGAUUUUGUGUAUUCCAGCUAAGGCUCUUCUGACACUCAACCUAAGCUACCACUGUUGUUCGCUGCCUUUUGGCAAACAUUUUCCUCAGUUAUCUUCAUCACGACUGGCAGACCGCCCAACCGUUACCCAUAAAAGUAAUGUUUAAUUCCGUGUAAAGCAAGUAAGCUCGCAUCAAACCCACAACUGCUUAAAGUCCCCCCUUGAGCAAUAUCAGGUGGCAU